rnacentral:rRNA from 1 species
AUCCUGGCUCAGGAUGAACGCUGGCGGCGUGCUUAACACAUGCAAGUCGAACGAUGAAGCCCAGCUUGCUGGGUGGAUUAGUGGCGAACGGGUGAGUAACACGUGAGUAACCUGCCCUUAACUCUGGGAUAAGCCUGGGAAACUGGGUCUAAUACCGGAUAGGAGCGCCUACCGCAUGGUGGGUGUUGGAAAGAUUUAUCGGUUUUGGAUGGACUCGCGGCCUAUCAGCUUGUUGGUGAGGUAAUGGCUCACCAAGGCGACGACGGGUAGCCGGCCUGAGAGGGUGACCGGCCACACUGGGACUGAGACACGGCCCAGACUCCUACGGGAGGCAGCAGUGGGGAAUAUUGCACAAUGGGCGCAAGCCUGAUGCAGCGACGCCGCGUGAGGGAUGACGGCCUUCGGGUUGUAAACCUCUUUCAGUAGGGAAGAAGCGAAAGUGACGGUACCUGCAGAAGAAGCACCGGCUAACUACGUGCCAGCAGCCGCGGUAAUACGUAGGGUGCGAGCGUUAUCCGGAAUUAUUGGGCGUAAAGAGCUCGUAGGCGGUUUGUCGCGUCUGUCGUGAAAGUCCGGGGCUUAACCCCGGAUCUGCGGUGGGUACGGGCAGACUAGAGUGCAGUAGGGGAGACUGGAAUUCCUGGUGUAGCGGUGGAAUGCGCAGAUAUCAGGAGGAACACCGAUGGCGAAGGCAGGUNUNUGGGCUGUAACGACNNGNGG